UCUUUGCUAGUAUAUCGGUUAGUACACGCGCCUGUCAUCGUAGAUCGUACUCCAAUCCCGGACGCGCGAAAGCUGGGUUCGACUCCCAGGCAAAGAG